rnacentral:rRNA from 1 species
GACGAACGCUGGCGGCGUGCUUAACACAUGCAAGUCGAACGGAAAGGCCCUGCUUUUGUGGGGUGCUCGAGUGGCGAACGGGUGAGUAACACGUGAGUAACCUGCCCUUGACUUUGGGAUAACUUCAGGAAACUGGGGCUAAUACCGGAUAGGAGCUCUUGCUGCAUGGUGGUGGUUGGAAAGUUUCGGCGGUUGGGGAUGGACUCGCGGCUUAUCAGCUUGUUGGUGGGGUAGUGGCUUACCAAGGUUUUGACGGGUAGCCGGCCUGAGAGGGUGACCGGCCACAUUGGGACUGAGAUACGGCCCAGACUCCUACGGGAGGCAGCAGUGGGGAAUAUUGCACAAUGGGCGGAAGCCUGAUGCAGCAACGCCGCGUGCGGGAUGACGGCCUUCGGGUUGUAAACCGCUUUCGCCUGUGACGAAGCGUGAGUGACGGUAAUGGGUAAAGAAGCACCGGCUAACUACGUG